AUUGAACGCUGGCGGCAUGCUUUACACAUGCAAGUCGAACGGCAUCGCGGGCUUCGGCCUGGCGGCGCGUGGCGUACGGGUGGGUCAUGCAUCGGAGCGUGCCCAGGAGUGGGGGAUAGGCCGGCUAAAGGCGGAUUAAUCCCGCAUCCGUCCUGAGGGUGAAAGCGGGGGACCGGAAGGGCUCGCGGUAUUUUCUGGCACGAGGUCGGAGUAGCUAGUUGGUGGGGUAAAGGCUUACCAAGGCGACGAUCCGUAGCUGGUCUGAGAGGACGAACCGCCACACUGGGACUGAGACACGGCCCAGACUCCUACGGGAGGCAGCAGUGGGGAAUUUUGGACAAUGGGGGCAACCCUGAUCCAGCCAUGCCGCGUGCGGGAAGAAGGCCUUCGGGUUGUAAAACGCUUUUGUUCGGGAAGAAAUCCUCUGGGCUAAUACCCCGGGGGGAUGACGGUACCGGAAGAAUAAGCACCGGCUAACUACGUG
rnacentral:rRNA from 1 species